GUAGUCAGGCAAGGACCACUCCUAGGGUCACGGCUUAGUCAGACACCCUGGGCUGUUGACCUGUUUGGAUGAUGCACACCCACGAGGAGUGGCCAAGACAACUGCUCUGGGGCGUGAUCUGCAGGGACACUUCCUAACGCACCUCGGAAGCAGUAGGCGUCGAAGCGUGCUCCUGGCGCAGGAAAGCCGGUGCGGUUGGCGAAGCGGUACACAGUGCGCACACCUGGGGCGGGGCCCCCGCAACGCCGGCGCGGAGUCUGGAUGGGGUAGCGCACGCUGCCGUCUGCCAGCCAGCCCGGGUCGCACUGGUCCAGGCCCUCGUGCCAGGCCAGGUGCAACUGCCCCACCGAGGCCAGCGCUGCACCCUGCCGCUGACAUUGUGCCCGCGCGCCCGCCAGGGUCAGUCGGCGGGCCGGGCCCACGUAAAAGACUUCACCUGGGAGAGGGAAAAAGUGGAGGUCAGAAGGGUGCGAGAAGGAGGGACGCGCGGACCUGUGGAUAGGAAGUUCAGGAGACGGGUGGCCCAAGUCCUGGCUCCAACUUUGGAGCUUUCUGAGGAGACUUAGCAGAACUUGAGGGCUGGAAAAACACCUGACACUUUCAAGGAGAGGUGGUCAGAUCCCACGUGCAGCUUUGGAGGGCACAAAGAAUUCGGAGAGAUUCAUGGGGCGUAGGAAAUACGGGACCUGGGACAGUACCUUACACUCACGGACAGGUGACGACAGGGUCCCAGACCCGCCUUGCCUUACCCCCUAGCUCGCGGGCAAAGCAGUAGACAUCGUAGAGUUCCUGCGGGUCGCGUCUCCCGUAGCUCCGAACACCCGGGAGACUGCUGCGGUCACCAUAGCAACCAGGACGCGACUGAGUGAUCGGGUACCUAACAGUACGAGGGGAGUGGCUAUUGCCGUGUGUUCUUGGAGCCUCUUUCUCCAGGAGCGACCCCCCAGUUCCAUGCCUCCCGCGCACCCCCUCACCGAACCGUGCGGUCUGAGAGCCAGCCCGCGUCGCAGUUGUCAAAGCCAUCUUCAAAGGCAGCCUGCAGGUGCCGUGGGGCAGCGAUGGUAGCAGAGCUUAGGCGACAAGCCUCCUGGGCCUCAGCGAAGGUCAGCGCAUAGCGGUCCCGGGCCGCCCGAUAAUGGAACACGACGCCUGUGGGGUAACAGCCACGAGGCCGGAGAGGGGUUUUGUGGAAUCUUAGGGAAAGGACCUUCUUGGAGCAUAUUUCCUAAAGACAGAGUCUCAUAUGG
rnacentral:lncRNA from 1 species